UACGUAGGGUCCGAGCGUUGUCCGGAAUUAUUGGGCGUAAAGGGCUCGUAGGUGGUUUGUCGCGUUGUUCGUGAAAACUCACAGCUCAACUGUGGGCGUGCGGGCGAUACGGGCAGACUGGAGUACUGCAGGGGAGACUGGAAUUCCUGGUGUAGCGGUGGAAUGCGCAGAUAUCAGGAGGAACACCGGUGGCGAAGGCGGGUCUCUGGGCAGUAACUGACGCUGAGGAGCGAAAAGCGUGGGGGAGCGAACAGG
rnacentral:rRNA from 1 species